rnacentral:misc_RNA from 1 species
GAUGAAGAACGCAGCGAAAUGCGAUACUUGGUGUGAAUUGCAGAAUCCCGUGAACCAUCGAGUCUUUGAACGCAAGUUGCGCCCGAAGCCAUUAGGCCGAGGGCACGCCUGCCUGGGCGUCACACGUCGUUGCCCCCCCAUCUACUCCUUCGGGAUUGCGGGGGGCGGAUGAUGGCCUCCCGUGCGCCUCGUCGCGCGGUUGGCAUAAAUGCCAAGUCCUCGGCGACGCACGCCACGACAAUCGGUGGUUGCGAAACCUCGGUUGCCCGUCGUGUGCGGUCGUCGCGCAUCGAGGGCUCGAAAAAAUUGCCGGGCUUCGGCUCGACUUUCAACGCGACCCCAGGUCAGGCGGGGUUACCCGCUGAAUUUAAGCAUAUCAAUAACGGAGGA